rnacentral:lncRNA from 1 species
UUAAAAACCAAUUGUUCAGAGAACAAUUGUAGGUCUUUCCACUAGUAAAGAUCUAUUUUGAUAUUGAAAUAUGAAAAAUCAGUUUAAAAUGUUAUUUCCUAUGGCUUUAUGAUGUAUUUAUAUGAAUUUAAAGCAAAGGUCAAAAUCUAGAACGUCAUAUUAACCUAUGACCUUGACCUCAAUUUCAAGUUCACAAACCAAGGACCUUAAAUCA